rnacentral:rRNA from 1 species
CUGGCGGCGUGCUUAACACAUGCAAGUCGAACGAAGCAACUGUCACGAUCCCUUCGGGGUGACGACUUGUUGACUGAGUGGCGGACGGGUGAGUAACGCGUGGGCAACCUACCUGUACAGGGGGAGUAACAGUUGGAAACGACUGCUAAUACCGCAUAAGCGCACAGCAUCGCAUGAUGCAGUGUGAAAAGUUUUUUCGGUAUAAGAUGGACCCGCGUCUGAUUAGCUAGUUGGUGAGGUAACGGCCCACCAAGGCGACGAUCAGUAGCCGACCUGAGAGGGUGACCGGCCACAUUGGGACUGAGACACGGCCCAAACUCCUACGGGAGGCAGCAGUGGGGAAUAUUGCACAAUGGGCGAAAGCCUGAUGCAGCCGACGCCGCGUGAGCGAAGAAGUAUUUCGGUAUGUAAAGCUCUAUCAGCAGGGAAGAUAAUGACGGUACCUGACUAAGAAGCGCCGGCUAAAUACGUGCCAGCCGCCGC